rnacentral:rRNA from 1 species
ACAAUGUGUGACUCUUUAUGGGUUAUGCAAUUGGAAUGACUACAAUUUAAAGAGUUUAAGAAGGAUCAAUUGGAGGGCAAGUCUGGUGCCAGCAGCCGCGGUAAUUCCAGCUCCAAUAGGAUAUAUCAAAGUUGUUGCAGUUAAAAAGCUCGUAGUUGAAUUUCUGGAAGGUAGAAGUGUUUUUUUUAGAGAAGCAAUUUUUUAUUGAAAACACCGCUUUCCAUUUUGUGGAUUUCUGUUUUGUAUGAGAUAGUUUACUCUAUUUUUAUAUAAAAUACCACUCCGUCACUGAGAGCAAAUUGGAGUGCUCAAAGCAGGCUUUAUUAGCUUUGAACAUUUUAGCUUGGAAUGACAAGAUAUGACUUUUGUUUUAUUUUGUUGGUUAUGAAAUAAAAGUAAUGAUUAACAGGAACAGUUGCGGGGGUACUCGUAUUGAAAGGUCAGAGGUGAAAUUCUUGGAUUCUUUCAAGACGAACGACUGCGAAAGCAUUUACCAAGGAUGUUUUCAUUAACAAGAACGAAAGCUCGGGGAUCGAAGAUGAUUAGAUACCAUCGUAGUCCGACGCCAUAAACGAUGCCGACUCGGGAUUAUUUUGUUUGUUUAAAAUAAAAAAGAACACAAAGUAGCACAGUAUGAGAAAUCAAAGUCUUUGGGUUCCGGGGGGAGUAUGGUCGCAAGGCUGAAACUUAAAGGAAUUGACGGAAGGGCACACCAGAGGUGGAGCCUGCGGUUUAAUUUGACCCAACACGGGGAAACUUACCAGGUCCAGACAUGAUGAGGAUUGACAGUUUGAAAGCACUUUCUUGAUUUCAUGGGUGGUGGUGCAUGGCCGUUCUUAGUUGGUGGAGUGAUUUGUCUGGUUGAUUCCGAUAACGAACGAGACGGGGUGAAUUUACUAGUUUGUUAUAUAAUUUACGUUAUAUAAGACUUCUUUAUUCGACAACUUGGUUUUACCAAGAGGAAGCGCCCCGCAAUAACAGGUCUGUGAUGCCCUUAGAUGUUCUGGGCUACACGCGCGCUACAAUGACGAAUUCAACGAGUUUAAAAUUUAUUCCUUAUCCGGAAGGAUGUGGGUAAUCUUUUCAAUAUUCGUCGUGAUGGGGCUAGAUUUUUGCAAUUAUUAAUCUUCAACGAGGAAUCUCUAGUAUGUGCAAGUCAUCAGCUUGCGCAGAAUGCGUCCCUGCCCUUUGUACACACCGCCCGUCGCACCUACCGAUUGGACGAUCCGGCAAGAUGUUUGGAGUUGUUUUGAUUGUAGAGUAAUUUAUGAUGAAAAUGACAAAGCUCUUCAAACCUUAUCGUCUAGAGGAAGGUGAAGUCGUAACAAGGUCUCCGUAGGUGAACCUGCGGAGG